UACGGAGGGUGCAAACGUUGCUCGGAAUCAUUGGGCGUAAAGCGCACGUAGGCGGUUUGUUAAGUCGGGUGUGAAAGCCCAGGGCUCAACCCUGGAAGUGCACUCGAAACUGGCAGGCUUGAAUAUGGAAGAGGGUCGCGGAAUUCCCGGUGUAGAGGUGAAAUUCGUAGAUAUCAGGAGGAACACCGGUGGCGAAGGCGGAUCUCUGGGCCUUGCCUGACGCUGAGGCGCGAAAGCUAGGGGAGCGAACAGG
rnacentral:rRNA from 1 species